UGGAUAAAAUCUUACAUUCCUUUUUCCCUGUUUUUCCUUUCUUCUCUUCUCCCUUCUUCUUUCUUUCUCUUUUCCCUCUUUCUUUCUCUCUCUCUCUCUCCCUUCUUUUUUUCUUGCUUUGGGGGGGGGGAUUGAUUUUUAAAAAAGAUUUGGACAUUUGGGUUUUUGUGUUUGUCUUUUGUGUUUGCUUUUUGUGAGGAUGAAAGAAAUGGAAGAAAUUGGAAGAAAGUU
rnacentral:ribozyme from 13 species